rnacentral:lncRNA from 1 species
UAUACUGAGCAGAUUAUAACUCUGUUUCAUCAGUGGGAUUCUGAUAUGAAGAAAGUUGGAGAUCUUGAAGAUAACCUAACUAGUGCCUUCUGUCAGCAACAGAAGACCUUUCAACAAAGUAGAUCACGGCAGAGCCACAGCCUGAAAGCCCUUAAGCAGGAAAAUGACAAGUUCUUAAAGAGUAUGGAGAACUUGGAAAAGGACAAGAGCAGUGUACUUUCUAGUAUACACAGUGAGUUUAAAAAGCAAAUUGUUUUCCUGCAAAGAAAAAUUACAGAUGGCUAAGUAUCAAUUUCUAAAAGCAUGGAAUACAAAAAGCACCAAGAUAAUUUGUUUUCCUGACGUUAAAUGUUUUUCUGAUGAGUUUUGAGAAAAUCUUGAACCUGAGUUGAUGUAAUUCAUAUUAUCUCAGACACAUGUCUUACCAAUUUGACUGUAUUUUAUAUUAUCUUCUGUCAUUAACUGUUUAAAGUGUGACACCUCUAUUCCUAUUGAGUUCUAAAUAAACAGUUGUUAACCUGU